UUCCUUUGUUAAUGUACGGCCCGUUGAGAUAGACGGUUCGGAUAUUCGGUGUGACGUCUUCGUGGGAGGAUAUAAGGGUAAUUGUGCGAGAGGUGCGCAUGUGUGUGUGUGGGGUGGGAGCAUGGGAUUACUCCCCAUGCCAAUAAUUUCCCCAGGAGACUACUUUCUCCCAUUUCUCUUUUUCUCUCUCUCGGCCAAACUCUCUCCUCCUCUCCUCCGAAACUCUCUCCUCCCUUCUCUCUUCGAUCUCAACACCUUAGAGCAUGAUUCUGGAUGAAGUCCAGGAAUUAAAAUUGCUAUACAGAGCACGGGCUUUCCGAAUAUCCAAGAAAAAUCUUGAUCGGACAGCGUGGGAGCUCGGUUGACUUGAUCAAAGGGUUGGGUUUUGCUCAAAACCCAUGAGGUACGAUUCAAGGAAGUUGACAUGGAGUACAUGUUGUGCAUUUGUGACCAAACCUUUAAAAAGGUAUUCAAGAAGGAUUUCAUAGCACAAGAUCUGAAAGAACAUUUUUUUUGGAAAGAUAGUAUUUGUAAAUUGUAAUAAUAUUUCCCUAGAAUAUUGGUAUUUUGAUGAUUUGGGGCCUUCGAGUUUUGGAAUGUAAUAUUUGAAUUUUAUUUGAGAACAGUGAACGAAAGAUCUUUUGGGGUAUUAUUUGUAUUACAGCGAGGACUUUAUUUAUUAAAAGUGUUUAUUAUUUAUGUUGAAAAUCGAGGGCGUGACAACUUGGUAUCAGAGCAUUAGGUUAGAAUACCUGGCGACCUUGGGGAGACUUUUAGUCUCAUGGGUUCAAAAAUUCAUUGCAUACUUUUACAAAAGUGUGUGUGAGCUUGCAUCAAUGACGUGUGUUCACUGAACUGGCAUUGCAUCUAUGUUUGCAUGAAAUAGUAAAAAGUUAGAUGACUCACGUCAAAAAAUAAAUAAAUAAAUUUUGAAGUUUGGCAUCAUUGUAGUGACUAUGGGUACGUCUGUUGUCAUUAUUAUUAUUGCUGAUGAUAGUCUUGUUCUUGAAUCCCAUGUGGUAAGAUGCCUUCUAUAAGUGAUGCUAGAUAGGGUGGAUCUAGAAAAUCAUGAUGGUUGAAGUGCUUAUGCGCAGUGGCGAUGCCGAUGUGUGAAAGAUAGUAUUCAUUAGCAUAUAAAAGAAGAGUUAGAAUAUUAAUGGGACUUAAGAGUAAAGUGUUAGAUGUGUUUCUGUUUGAAUUGCGUGGAUUACGUAUUCAAGUUUUAAGUGUAUUGAGUAAAUCUUAUGUGAUAUGAGUUGUAUUGAGUAUAUAUGCAAGGAGAGUGAUGCAUUUGUUGAGAAUAGAGUCAGUGAGUGUUUUAAUGUGUUUAAAAAGGCAAUGUUUUGUUGUGAUAGUAAUUGUGGUUAGUCAUUUUUUUUUAUGGUUAAUGAGGUAGUGGCUGUGGGCAUAUGUAGGGCAAGUUGAACCCAUAUUGCGAACUAUAUGUAUCUAAGGUUGACUUAGAAAGAUGAAAGUUAUAGGUAAGGUGUCGGGAUACAGUAUGUGUCUUCUGGACACCCAAGUGACUACUGAUGAGAUCCAGUUGGAAGAGGCGAUUGAUCACCGCUCCUUCUAGAUGGAAGUGUUGGAAGGUCAAUUGGACACUAAGAUUGUGUAUAGGGGUUAGAUCUCUAGAUUUGAGAUAGAUGGCUCUACGUAGGAGUUUCAAAAAAAAAGGGGAAGUGUUAUGGUGUUGUAAUCUUCAUUGUUGAGGUGAAUGUCGUGGUGGUGUCAUUAUGACAGGAUGAUAGAAAAUAGUGAUAGUAUUGUGUGAAAAAAAAAAAAGGGAGACAAGACUUGAGAGGUGUACUAUAUCGAUGUGACUUGAGGCAAGUGAUUGAUGUCAGUGUGUGGUGAGAGACUUGUUUGAAGUAAGGGCAAUAUGAAUGAGGACUGUUGUGAGUUGAAAGAUUAGAGUGUAGAGAUGAUGUGUGAUGUGUAAUUGGCGACGUAGACUAGACUGAUGACAGUAUAGAAUGCAUUGAGGUAUGCCGCUGAGGUGAUAGAUUUGAGAGAGACUAAGGUUUAAAUAGUGAUAGUGAUAGCAGUGCUGGUGAUAGGAGUCUUAGAAUAUAAUGUGAAGUAUAGAAGGAUUGUUUGCAAUCCCGGAGUCUUGUGGGUAUUCAGGGAUAAGUCUGUUAGUCGGUCUGUGUCAGUGUUUGAGUUCUAGCAUGAAGAUAUUCGAGAGUAUUAGAUGUUCGUUGGUGCAGCUAUUGCACACUUUGUGUAGGUGCUCUAGUGAUGAGAUGUUAAUAGGUUGCAAUAUUGUUAAAA